UUCUGGAUUUAACAGGGAGCCAAUGAAGGGAAGCCAAAGUAUUCAUCAGAACUCUUGCUGCAUUAAUUAUAUUUAAUAAUUUCUGACUAAAAUCAUCUGCAAUGUUUACAUAUUCAAAAUAUAGAAUGAAACUGAUUGUUGGGAUACUAGCAGGUAAGUAUAAUAAUUAUUAAUAAUUAAUAACUUUUAACCAAAAUCACCUAUUGUAACUGUAUUACAACCACAGGCUGCCGGACAGCAAAUCACUUUUUGAUGUGUAUUGAAAAUCUGGAAAUGAAAAAUAAUCAAAGCUUUGGACCAAAUGAGAAAGUGAGGAACCAUGAUAACAUGGCUAGGUGUUGGCUUGGUUAACUAGCUUCGGACAGUAGAGUGAAACCGCACACGGGAAACAAGCAGGGGAAAGGACAAAAAGGGAAAAUAUAAGCAACACACUGCAGAACAAACAGUGGCCAAAGUUUGGGACUGUUGAUGCAAAAUUAAAAUUAUGUUUGGCCAUUGACAUUUUUGCUUCAGUGUAACUUCACCUCGCAGCAUUCAUUGCACCUCUGACAUCACGGCAGAGGUGAUUUAUAUCCCCUGCAAGCCAAGCAGCUUUGCCUUUCGUGUUACCUCGCAACGAAGGCCCAUUGUGGGAAACUUCCUCGGAGGAUGAAUAAACAUACAGGACAAGAUAACUUAUUCCUAAUCAAUACUUUGAAGAGCUUGACAAAGCUUGAGAUCUCACUAUUCUGAUCAAAGACCUAAACGUUGCAGUUUGCAACCCAGGUGUACAAAGUCCAACUCAGGAUUUUCCAACAGGAUGAGUCUACCUGCUUUUUUUUUUCCAGUCGACUGGCUACGGUUCAUCAUAUUUCUCUCCUGCUGACCGUUUCUAAGCCUUACAUGGAUGUGUGAACGCUCACAAUCGUCGUACCUGUCCGGGAGAAGAUAUCGCUCAAGUAAACACAUUUCUUUUGUGCCGUUUCUCGUAGUCCGGGCAGGAUAUAGAUUAGAAGUAAGAUUGAGAAGACGCUUACUUGGGAGUGGAAGAAGAUGUUCCGGGAUAGGGGAGUAAGCCACAGAGACUGUGUCUGGCAGGCUGGAGUAAGCUGCAAGGAGUCCCUUCCAGGAGGGAAAUGAGAAGGCUUUCAGCAGUGAUAAAUACACUUAAGUAUUUAUCUACCAGACAAAGGAUGGAUCAAAGACAGAGAAACCUGACCAGGGUCUUCAUUGGUUGUAACCUUAAGGGAAAGGAGCACAGCCAAGCUUAAGAGUUUUCCCUGAUUGCUCCUUGAUGAGCAACAGCUGUGACCUAUCACAGCUAUCACCUAUCACACCCUGUGGAAAAAGGUGAGAGACAAAC